rnacentral:misc_RNA from 1 species
AAGCGCGAACACCUCGUCAUCCUGGGCCCGGAACACCGCGAUGUUGCCCGACGCCGUCCGCACCACGCGCGAGCCGAGACGAGGAAUAUCGUCCAGGGCUCCGAUUUCAAUCCACUGGGUCAUGCGAGUUCCAAUUCCGCCAGAGGCACAAACUCGUUGCGAUCGACGCCAUGUUGGGCGCGCUCCGCCCAUGGAUCGCUUUGCGAGAAUUGUUGCGAGUAAGAGAAGCGUCCGAACAGUGCUUUCCGGUUGGCCAGGUCGUCGACCACAAGCUUGCGGAUCGCAUCGAGACCGACGCGGUCG